rnacentral:tRNA from 1 species
UGAUUAAUUUGUAAAUGUUUUUUUGAAAAUACGGACUCAUAAUCCGUUGGUCGACAGUUCAAGUCUGUCUGGGCCCACCA